AGAGUUUGAUCAUGGCUCAGAACGAACGCUGGCGGCAGGCUUAACACAUGCAAGUCGAACGGUUGUAGCAAUACAGCAGUGGCAGACGGGUGAGUAACACGUGGGAACCUUCCUAGGGGUACGGAACAACUCAGGGAAACUUGAGCUAAUACCGUAUACGUCCGUGAGGAGAAAGAUUUAUCGCCCUUAGACGGGCCCGCGUCGGAUUAGCUAGUUGGUGGGGUAACGGCCUACCAAGGCGACGAUCCGUAGCUGAUCUUAGAGGAUGAUCAGCCACACUGGGACUGAGACACGGCCCAGACUCCUACGGGAGGCGGCAGUGGGGAAUCUUGGACAAUGGGCGCAAGCCUGAUCCAGCCAUGCCGCGUGAGUGAAGAAGGUCUUCGGAUUGUAAAGCUCUUUUGCCAGGGACGAUAAUGACGGUACCUGGAGAAUAAGCCCCGGCAAACUUCGUG
rnacentral:rRNA from 1 species